rnacentral:rRNA from 1 species
UACGUAGGGGGCGAGCGUUGUCCGGAUUUAUUGGGCGUAAAACGCUUGUAGGUGGCCACGCCAAGUCGGAUGUGAAAUCUCCCGGCUUAACUGGGAGCGGUCAUUCGAUACUGGCGGGCUCGAGGCAGGUAGGGGGAAGCGGAAUUCCCGGUGUAGUGGUGGAAUGCGUAGAUAUCGGGAGGAACACCAGUGGCGAAGGCGGCUUCCUGGACCUGUUCUGACACUGAGGAGCGAAAGCGUGGGGAGCGAUCCGG